CUCCAUCCUGACUCAGACAGAAACAAAAUGGUGUGUUGGCUGAGCUGGCUUCUCCUGGUGGCUCUGUUAGGAGGGGUCCAAUGUGAGGUGCAGCUGGUGGAGUCUGGAGGAGACUUGGUGAAGCCCGCGGGGUCUCUGACACUCUCUUGUGCAGCCUCUGGAUUCAAUUUUGGCAGCUAUGCAAUGUCCUGGGUCCGCCAGGCUCCAGGGAAGGGCCUAGAGUGGGUCUCAAGCAUAAGUAGUGAUGGUGCUGGUACAUACUAUGCUGAGUCUGUGAAGGGCCGAUUCACCAUCUCCAGAGACAACAGCAAGAACACGGUCUCUCUGCAAAUGAGCCGCCUGAGGGAGGAGGACACGGCCCUGUACUACUGUGCGAAACACAUAGAUUCUACGUGGUCACCUUACACCUGGGAGUUCUGUUCUCCUGAACUGCCUGACCUCUCCUCUUCCACCCACUCACUAAGAGGACAUUCAGAUUUCCGCAAUCCUUCGCCACCCCUCACCCUUUGUAGAGGAGAGACCAUCUCCCGUGACAUGGGCAGCACUGACCCCUUCACAGGCUUCACCUAUCCGGCCCUUUCUCUGUAA